rnacentral:tRNA from 1 species
ACAUCCUUGGUGGCCUAAACAAUGGCGUAAAAGUGCUGAUGAGUGGCUUAGAUUACGAACGCGUAGUGCUCUCAGGC